rnacentral:rRNA from 1 species
AUUGAACGCUGGCGGCAUGCUUUACACAUGCAAGUCGAACGGCAGCGCGGGCUUCGGCCUGGCGGCGAGUGGCGAACGGGUGAGUUAUACAUCGGAACGUGCCCAGUAGUGGGGGAUAGCUCGGCGAAAGCCGGAUUAAUACCGCAUACGACCUGAGGGUGAAAGCGGGGGAUCUUCGGACCUCGCGCUAUUGGAGCGGCCGAUGGCAGAUUAGCUAGUUGGUGGGGUAAAGGCCUACCAAGGCGACGAUCUGUAGCUGGUCUGAGAGGACGACCAGCCACACUGGGACUGAGACACGGCCCAGACUCCUACGGGAGGCAGCAGUGGGGAAUUUUGGACAAUGGGCGAAAGCCUGAUCCAGCAAUGCCGCGUGUGUGAUGAAGGCCUUCGGGUUGUAAAGCACUUUUGGCGGGAACGAAAAGGACUGUGCCAAUACCACGGUUCGAUGACGGUACCCGCAGAAUAAGCACCGGCUAACUACGUG